CUAGGCAAGUAAGCUCCAUUUAUAUGUGGGAAUCUAAUCAGGGUCGACAUUGUUGGUUUAUCUAGUGCUCAUAAACCUAUCGAAUGGACUGGUUUGACAAGUUUUAGAAUCUAAUAAGACUUCACAUUGUUAACUUGGUUUGAGUCAAGGAGGUAACUUGAUAUUUUACUUUGAGACAGGUCAGUCAUCAUCCAAUGAUUGUUACAUGCCACUGUGAAGGUAGAGGAUGGAAAUUUUGGAGAGACAGUAAUCUGGAAAGAAAAUUUUGGGGUCAUUCAAUCUAGCUUGAUCCUAUUGGUCUUCUAACUCUCGAGUUUGAUGAUGGUGAAGUUUUUCAGUGGAGCAAGGUCACAAUUUCCAUUUACAACCUUAUUCUGGGAAAGCUCUACUACAAUCACUAUGGUACCAUGUGAAUAGAAGGAAAUUCUGAAUAUUUGUGUAAGCUAAAAUUCAAGGAGCAGUCGAUCAUAGUCUGAAAUCCUCACCAGUUGAUUAAUUCACUAUGGUACCAUAUGCGAGUGCACACAGACUCACCAAGAUUUGUAUUUUCAACAUUAUUGUAAUUGUAAUUGAUUGAAAGAAAGGAU